UACAGAGGGUGCGAGCGUUAAUCGGAAUUACUGGGCGUAAAGGGCGCGUAGGUGGCCUGCUAAGUCACACGUGAAAUCCCUCAGCUUAACUGGGGAACUGCGUGUGAUACUGGCGAGCUUGAGUGCAGGAGAGGAACGCGGAAUUCCAGGUGUAGCGGUGAAAUGCGUAGAUAUCUGGAGGAACACCGGUGGCGAAGGCGGCGUUCUGGACUGCAACUGACACUGAUGAACGAAAGCCAGGGGAGCAAACGGG
rnacentral:rRNA from 1 species